rnacentral:rRNA from 1 species
AAUGAACGCUGGCGGCAGGCUUAACACAUGCAAGUCGAGGGGCAGCAUAGAUUGUAGCAAUACAAUUGGUGGCGACCGGCGCACGGGUGCGUAACGCGUAUGCAACCUACCCGUCACAGGGGGAUAAUCCGGAGAAAUCUGGUCUAAUACCCCAUAACAUAUGGAUCGGCAUCGGUUCAUGUUGAAAUUUUCGGAGGUGACGGAUGGGCAUGCGUAGCAUUAGCUCGUUGGUGAGGUAACGGCUCACCAAGGCGACGAUGCUUAGGGGGACUGAGAGGUUUGCCCCACACACUGGUACUGAGACACGGACCAGACUCCUACGUGAGGCAGCAGUGAGGAAUAUUGGUCAAUGGGCGCAAGCCUGAACCAGCCAUGCCGCGUGCAGGAUGACGGCUCUAUGAGUUGUAAACUGCUUUUGUACGAGGGUAAAGUGGGUUACGUGUAACCUUUUGGAAGUAUAGUACGAAUAAGGAUCGGCUAACUCCGUGCCAGCCGCCGCCGUAA